AUAGUUUUGUAAGCAGUAGUACUU
rnacentral:piRNA from 1 species